rnacentral:lncRNA from 1 species
GUCGUAAAACUGCACUGUCAGGUGUUUACAUUCUGUAUUUUUUUGUUGAUUUCUGUGAUCUGUGUUUCUGUAACAGAUUCAGCGUGUGUUCCUGCCUCGGAUGUCAUGUCUGUUUCUGCAGAAAAAGCUGGGUCCAUUCUUGCAGAAGACACCAAGCCACCUGGAGCUCUGGAUGCUGGAUUUGCACCUCCAGCCAAAGCCAGCCCUCUUCUGGAUGUUGCGUUUGCUUCUGCACCAGAAGCCAAACCUCCUAAUGCUGUCAAUGAUGCAUCCGUCCCAGCGGCAGAUACUGACUUCACCCCAGCAGCAGGUGCCAUGUCCCAUUAUACUAUGGAUUUGGAGUUUGCCCCAGCAGAAGAUGCAGGGUUUGCCCCAGCAGCAGAUGUGGAAUCUCACCGUGCUAUGGAUUUCUCAUUUGCCCCAGCAGCAGAUGUGGAGUCUCACCAUGCUAUGGAUUUCUCAUUUGCCCCAGCAGCAGAUACUGAAUCUCCUCAUGCUAUGGAUUCUGAGUUUGCCCCAGCAACAGAUACUAAAUCUCCUCAUGCUAUGGAUUCUGAGUUUGCCCCAGCAACAGAUACUACAUCUCCUCAUGCUAUGGAUUCUGAGUUUGCCCCAGCAACAGAUGCUACAUCUCCUCAUGCUAUGGAUUCUGAGUUUGCCCCAGCAACAGGUGCAGAGUUUGCCCCAGCAGCAGAAGUCAACCACCAUCAUGCUAUGGAUUCUGGGUUUGCUGCUGUAGCAGAAGCCAAGCCUCCCUCCACCAUAGAUUCCAGGUUUGCCUCUGCAGAAGCUAAGUCUGUCCCUGCAGCUGACACCAAGAGUGCUGCAUCUGAAGAGCUGAUGACGUCUAAGUCUUCUCUUGAGCAAGACAAGUCACCCUUCGACAAGCCUCUUGCAGAAGCAACUGCAAAUGUAGAACAAGAAUCAAAAGUCCCAGAAGCUUGCGUUGGUCUUCUAGAAAAAGCUGAAGACAGCAGACCACCUCCCAGCCACCAUGAAGAGCAUCUUCCAGAACAGACAAACCAUAUUUCAGAGCCUGCAGGUGAGGAAUGCCAACCACAAUACAAAACUGGAGCCAGCACUUUGCUAUCAGCUAAUUCUGCCCCACCACCUAAGUUCUUUCUCACUGCCACUGUUCUCCAGUCCUUAGCAAUGAAAAAGCAACAAAGGUUUAAUUUCAAGAAGGUUAUUAGUGCAUGCUAACAUGGGC